GAUGAACGCUGGCGGCGUGCCUAAUACAUGCAAGUCGAGCGAACAGAUGAGGAGCUUGCUCCUCUGACGUUAGCGGCGGACGGGUGAGUAACACGUGGAUAACCUACCUAUAAGACUGGGAUAACUUCGGGAAACCGGCGCUACUACCGGAUAAUAUAUUGAACCGCAUGGUUCAAUAGUGACAGACGGUUUUUCUGUCACUUAUAGAUUGAUCCGCGCCGCAUUAGCUAGUUGGUAAGGUAACGGCUUAACAAGGCAACGAUGCGUAGCCGACCUGAGAGGGUGAUCGACCAGACUGUAACUGAGACACGGUCCAGACUCCGAGGGGAGGCAGCAGUAGGGAAUCUUCCGCGAUGGGCGAGAGCCUGACGGAGCAACGCGGCGGGAGGGAUGAAGGUCUUAGGAUCGUAAAACGCUGUUAGUAGGAAGGAAGAAAUGUGUUAGUAACUAUGCACGUCUUGACGGUACCUAAACAAAAAGCCACGGCUAACUACGUG
rnacentral:rRNA from 1 species